rfam:Oryza nivara chromosome 9, whole genome shotgun sequence.
AAUAAAUACAGUCAUGAGUUUCCGCGUCUAACUUUGAUCAUUCGUCUUAUUUGAAAAAAUUUUAUAAUUAGCAUUUUUGUUGUUAUAGGAUGAAAAAACAUGAAUGGUACUUCACUUGUGACUUAUGUUUUUAAUUGUUUUAAAAGAAAAUUUAAAUAAGACGAAUGGUUAAAGUUGGACGCGGAAAACCAUAACUGUAUUUAUU